GAUUAUUAGAAGGCCACACCUGCAUGCGCCUGAUCCUGUCAGAUCUUGGAAGCUAAGCAGGGCCAGGCCCAGUCAGUACCUGGAUGGGAGACUCCCUUGGAAGACCAGACUUAGCCACUA
rnacentral:rRNA from 12 species